AGUUAUAAACGUUUUGAAUUGAUUACAGAUCUCAGAUUUGAGGAGAGAUUCAGAGAGAGAGAGAGCGAGACCGAUAGAGGGAGAUCGAGAUAGAUUUUGGAAGAGUUUGUUGGAUUAAACGUUUUGAAUAAGGUUUGUUCUCAGCAGCAAACCCUAAGCCUCUCGACGAGUCUCUCUGCUAGGAUUCAUUUUUCAAUUUCAUUGAUGAUCUCGAAAACGCUUCUGAUCUUUCCAAUACCAAAAUUCCUUUCCCUCAGUGAUGUUGAUUCAACGAUGUUUGCUUGCAUAGCAUUUUCAUGUCCUAAUUUACAAUCGAUGAAGAUUCGUACGAUGCAUAAGGCAAUUAAUAGAAUUACUGGGGAAAAAGAACGAUACUUGUUAGUUUCCCUCCUGCUGCAAGAAGAAUGGAUAUGCUAAACGACUUGCUUCCAUCAAGUGCUCUUAUCUCCCUACAUUGUGCUUUGACUAAUGAAACUGUUCAGAUUAUAAAUGCUGAACGCCUGCAGCAUGUAAAACCUGGGGCAUUUCUUGUAAAUAUUUGUUGUAGUCAGUUGCUGGACGAUUGUGCCCUGAAGCAACUGUUGAUUGAUGGCAGUAUUGCUGGCUGUGCGUUGGAUGGUGCUGAACGGACACAAUGGAUGGAUCAUGGGUAUAAGCAUUGACCUUAUGGUAUGAAUUGUAAUUUAGGAAUGAGUGGUAACAUUUCUGUAUUCUAGUGUUGGCAUUACAAUUCGUUCUCAAGAGACCUAAAGUGCGCCACUAGCAUUAUAGCCCAUGUUACCAAUUGUAAUAACAUAGAUUCUUAAUUUCAGUAGGUACUAAAUUCAUAUCUAUUUUAAUGAAUUUUAUCUUAGAUUUUUUUUGUUGAAUUUUAUCUUAUACUUAAAUUCACACAUUCAUCCCUCGUUUGGGUAUAUAUGUUUUGGAUACAUGUGCGUAUAAUAUGUGUACAUUUAUAUACACAUGUUGAUUGUUACUGUGUACAUAGUUGUACACUGUGAUUGCUAAUGUGUACAUAGUUGUACACCUAAUGUGCACAUACUCUUGCUCUUUGAUUUUGUACCUCUGCAGGUGCUACACAUGUCUCCAGUGUUGUUCUUGGUGAAAAGCUAUCUGAAAUGGAAUAGGAAACAAAUGCGCAAGUUGGUGAGCCACAGAGUCAGCAGUAUCAGGAUUUGGAUGUAGAGAAUAACGAUGAAGGAGAAGAUUAGUGAUUGCAGCAAUCAUCAGGAAAUUUUGGAUGUUUCGGAGACACUUGAUGGAAAGAAGUCAUUAGGGGACGAAAUUUUUGAUGACACACCUAACGAAAGAAGAUGUGCUCUCUCUUGUGAUAAACUGGGCUAUUUUUGACCAGUUUAAUUGGACGGUGAAGACCUGCUUAGAAAUUUGUAGUAGCUGGUGUUCGUUGAAUUGCAGUUUUCAUUGUUGUACUUAUACAGAGUCAAAAAAACAUGGGUGAAAAGAGAAAUAGUGGACGCAGUCUGGUGAACUAUCAAAAUCAUUGAUUCUGUAUGCAGAUAAGGUGGAUAUGCUGGAUGUGAAGGGUGAAUUCUCAACAGUAAUAACAAGAGUGUUGCUGACAUUAGUGCAAGGUUUAGAAACCAAAUUGAUGAUAUGACACGUUUUCCGUGGUGUACACUUGAAAGUGUUGGCAACCAGUCAGAGUAAGUUACAAAGCCUCUUACCUGUUUAGGCCUGUCACUAUACUACUGCCAUCAGCUAUUAUCUCUAGAUGGACGAUUCAAGUUGUAUGUAGUGUGCAAACUACAAACUGGUGCACCGUCUUUGGAUUUUCUGGAUUUUUGUAAAUGUGUAAACUGAGAUUUUAAAAACGCGUGCAGGGUGAAAAAAAUGUUUCUACACCAGUGUAAACUGAGAUUUUUAAAAAAAUGAAAAUUAUAGUCAUAUGGGUACUCUUUUUGUAUAUUUCGGAAAGAGCUUUCUGAAUAUAUAAAGUUCGCAAAUUUUGGACAAA